rnacentral:rRNA from 1 species
UACGUAGGGACCGAGCGUUGUCCGGAAUCAUUGGGCGUAAAGAGCGUGUAGGCGGCUAUUUAAGUCCUGCGUGAAAUCCUGCGGCUCAACCGCAGACGGUCGUGGGAAACUGGAUGGCUAGAGUGCGGGAGAGGAGAGUGGAAUUCCCGGUGUAGCGGUGAAAUGCGCAGAUAUCGGGAAGAACACCCGUGGCGAAGGCGGCUCUCUGGGACGGUACUGACGCUGAGACGCGAAAGCGUGGGGAGCGAACGGG